rnacentral:rRNA from 1 species
CAGUAGCCGCGGUAAUACGAAGGGGGCUAGCGUUGCCCGGAAUUACUGGGCGUAAAGGGCGCGUAGGCGGACAGUUCAGUCGGGGGUGAAAGCCCGGGGCUCAACCUCGGAAUUGCCUUCGAUACUGGCUGUCUUGAGUAUGAGAGAGGUGUGUGGAACUCCGAGUGUAGAGGUGAAAUUCGUAGAUAUUCGGAAGAACACCAGUGGCGAAGGCGACACACUGGCUCAUUACUGACGCUGAGGCGCGAAAGCGUGGGGAGCAAACAGGAUUAGAUACCCCUGUAGUCCCUGUCUCUUAUAC